UAGAUACCCUGGUAGUCCACGCCGUAAACGAUGUCUACUCGGAGUUUGGUGUCUUGAACACUGGGCUCUCAAGCUAACGCAUUAAGUAGACCGCCUGGGGAGUACGGCCGCAAGGUUAAAACUCAAAUGAAUUGACGGGGGCCCGCACAAGCGGUGGAGCAUGUGGUUUAAUUCGAUGCAACGCGAAGAACCUUACCUACUCUUGACAUCCAGAGAACUUUCCAGAGAUGGAUUGGUGCCUUCGGGAACUCUGAGACAGGUGCUGCAUGGCUGUCGUCAGCUCGUGUUGUGAAAUGUUGGGUUAAGUCCCGCAACGAGCGCAACCCUUAUCCUUACUUGCCAGCGGGUAAUGCCGGGAACUUUAGGGAGACUGCCGGUGAUAAACCGGAGGAAGGUGGGGACGACGUCAAGUCAUCAUGGCCCUUACGAGUAGGGCUACACACGUGCUACAAUGGUCGGUACAGAGGGUUGCGAAGCCGCGAGGUGGAGCUAAUCUCAUAAAGCCGGUCGUAGUCCGCAUUGGAGUCUGCAACUCGACUCUAUGAAGUCGGAAUCGCUAGUAAUCGUGGAUCAGAAUGCCACGGUGAAUACGUUCCCGGGCCUUGUACACACCGCCCGUCACACCAUGGGAGUGGGCUGCACCAGAAGUAGAUAGCUUAACCUUCGGGAGGGCGUUACC
rnacentral:rRNA from 1 species